rnacentral:lncRNA from 1 species
GGCCAUUUGGAAGCUUGAGCUUAACAUUGGUCUUUGAACAAUUGAAAGCAGACUGAAAGCUAGCCACUUCACUAGUUGCUUUGAAUACAAAUAUGAAAGAAGAAAAUGAAGUGAUCGAAAACGUACCCUUCCCCUUCGUUAGAGAGCACGACUUACAGAUUACGUCUCAUUACUCAUUCAUAUGCACACACAUACAAGAGAUGCAUACACAUACAAGAGUACAAGAUAGGAAAACUAUACUAAAAACGAUGUGCUUGUCCUUGUCGAUCAAAAUCCAAAAAUGGAGCUGGAAAUAUUGACAAAUGGAUAAAUAUUCAUACCGUGUAUAUGCGACGUCAACGGGAAAGGCGCUAAUAAAAAUGCCAAGCUUAUCAAUUUUUCAUGUGGGUCUAGUGUUGAACAAUUGUGUAGUUUGUCUUGCUUUCUCUUCAAAAUAGUCAUUGAAAAUCUGUAUCACCAGCUGGCAGUAGCAUGCACAAAGUUUGCCGCCCAUGGAUUCAGGAAUGAGCUCCGGGUUGAAACGAGAAGUACUCGGCUAGCUAGCUAGCUAGCUACUCCCUAUGACACUAGUGAAGAGUACUCUACGUCUCUACCUGGAAUUUCUAUGUUGAAAUUUCACUCUUUAUCUUUUCAACAAUUAAACUCAAUCCAUGGUAAGAGUAACUAUCUCAGAUAGUCUGUUAGAUAAAAGACUUUGACUUAAAUGUUCUAGACGAAAAAGCAUACAUGCCGGGAAAACGCAAAAACUGUGACCUAUUCGAUCAAUUGGUUGCUAGCUAACUGGGUUUCUUUCCUACUGCCUCUUUUGUCUUUUUGCCCAUAAAUCAGUAGAGGUAAAGCUUCUUCCCCUUCGUUAGAUGUAGGGGUUUCAAUUGGUCGGUUCGAAUCGGUUAUAGAUACUACCAACUUGGAAACCAAAGUUUUUGGUUUAAUUAAGAUUUGAGGUACCAAUUACCAACCAAAGUUUUCGGUGUCUAAUUUUAUCUACCAAGUUCUGUUUUUUGGUUUUUGGUAUUCCCAACUCUACAACAAUAAUUCUUUAUAUUAUAAAAUACAAUGAAUUUUUUUUAAUAUAAAGUACAAUGAAAAAUACUAGUAUUUUUUUUUUCACAAACUCUAAGUAGUUUCAAGAAGACCGAAACCCUAUUCGGGUUUUGUGAGCAGGCUGCGGCGGGAGAUUUUGGCUUCGCGUACGUCCAGGCAGGAGGGCGGUGGCGACUUUGGUCUAAGCCUGCGCGGGGUAACAUACAAUCGACGAUUGGAGGUUUCUAUUCGUUUGGGAUCAAGAUCUUGUUUAUAGUGUGGCUAAGUGUACGUGAAGAAGACGAUGAAUCUGAUCUAGUUGUGAGUGAUGACCGUUGAGCUAUAGGGCAACGGCUUGUGGAGGCGGAGCACCUUGCAAGCUACGAGCUAGGGAGGAGUUCGAGGAAGAGCGGCUUAGCUCUGCGCUUUCCUGAUGGGCUGAUUUGUUGUUUUGCCCGGUGGCGAUCGCAAUUCGAACAUCAACGGCUCAAAGGCGGUGACAACUUGAUUUGGGUGCGUCUGCGUUUCGCUUUUGCCGCUCCCAUAGCUGAAGGACGCGUCCGCCCACCGGAGACUGACCAAUGACGGCUAGCUUGCAUGGUCCGAUCUGGAUAUCAAGUCUAAGUGGGUUGAGGGUUGAGAGGAGGCAUGUGGGAGUGGGCUAGGUCGUUUUGGGCCUGGGCUAUUUUCCCUCUUCUUUCUAUCUCACAGUUUUGUUUUUGGGCUUGUUGUUCCGGGUUUGAGUCAAUAUAUACGAGUACUGGGCUUUUGCGUAACCUUGUUCAAUGUUGUUCAUUGUUCUGACUGGUGGAGGGGUACACCAUGAAGGUCUCUAGGCCCCAAGCCAAUCAAGGUGGAUGCUGUGAAUUAGGGUUACAAAGAAUAAAUUAGUAUUUGGAUGUCCGCUUUUUUGGACGAAGUCUUUUGGUUUAGUUUCAUUGCACUACCAGGACAAGCACUUUAGCCGACGAAAAAUUUUUGUCGGCCUGUUAGCUUAAUUUGUCGGCUAAGAUUUCGUCGGGAAAAGGUCGUCUGUGAUGACUUUAGCCGACGAAAAAAAAAAUUUCGUCGGCUAUAGUCCCGCAGUUUAGCCAACGAAAAACAUGUCGUCGGUUUUUUUCCCAGACUUUAGCCGACGAAACAAUUAAGAUAUUCGUCGGCUAAAGUCUGUAAUAAAAAAAUUUUUCCCAAACUAUAGCCGACGAAAUAUAGUAUGUUUCGUCGGCUAAACCUUAUAAAAAAAUUUAAAAAAAUAACUAUAGCCGACGAAAUAUAGCCUGUUUCGUCGGCUAAACCUUAUAAAAAAUUUUAAAAAAUAACUAUAGCCGACGAAAUAUAGUCUGUUUCGUCGGCUAAACCUUAUAAAAAAUUAAAAAAUAACUAUAGCCGACGAAUUAUGGCAUAAUUCGUCGGCUAAACAUUAUAAAAAAAAUUAAAAAAUACUAUAGCCGACGAUUAUAGUAUUUAAAUAUCGUCGGCUAAAGUUGCUGGGUUUUGAAAAAAAAAACUGCAGAAACUUUCGGCCACCUCCAAUCACGACCAAAAUUUGACAGAAUCUUCCUCUCAACAUUUCGAACAACUUUCUAGAAGAAGUCGAAGCUCAAUUCUAAGCCUAAACAGAUCAAUCGACUCAAAAUAUAAAGAUCCCCAAUUUUAAACCCUAAAAACUUCAAAUCUUCGAUUCUCUUCACACACACCGAAUCGAGCUACCAAAUUCUAGGGGAAUGUAGUACUAAUCAAACUCAACUUAUCCAUAUAUAGAACUCACCAAAUGGUGACCUGAGGAAGGAGAAAUUCGAUCGACACCGAAUUCGAACCGGCGGAGUUUUGGAGCUCGAUUUAUCUCUCACGGCGACGCCACUCGAUGCACCACCUAUCCAGCAAUAAAGUAGAGACGACGGCGAAGCUUUUGGGACAAGUGUGGCGAUCUCCGGUGGCUUGACGGCGGAGCUAGGCCGAGAAGAAAAUCUGGCAGGCGAAAUAGACUUCUUACCAUCCACCUUCGGUAAUAUAAAGAACUUUAGCCGACGAAAUUCUUUAUUUUCGUCAGCUAAACUCUUUUGAAAAUUUUGAAAAUUUUGGUUGAUUGCCAAAAAAUUUUGGUUGAAAAUUUUGAAAAUUUUUCGACUUUAGCCGACGACUUUUCAUAUAUUUUCGUCGGCUAAAGUCUUUUGAAAAUUUUCCUCCAAAUUUGGUUUACCGCCCAAAAAUUUUUGACUUUAGCCGACGACUUUUUUAAUAUCUCGUCGGCUAAAGUCUAUAAAUUCACGAAAACGCUCAUAUCUCCCUCUAUAUUACGUAGUUUGGUCAAACCUUCCACACAAAAAACUUUCACGUAGAUGAGACGCAACCGCCUAUAUAAAAAUUUUGAGACAUUUGUCUUCCGACGAUAGAGCUCCCCAUAGGGAAUAAUAACGGUAAAUAGGGUUGACCGCUACUAUCGGCACCGAAACUUUACCCGAUUUACGUGAUUUUUGAACCAUAGACGUAUUUCACCAUUCUGAACACAUAUUAUUUCACGAGAUUUUUGAUAAUUUUGCUUCCUACAUAGAGUUGGUACACAAAGUUGUAUAACCUACUAAACAAGUUAUACAACAUUAGUAGACACGUUGUGAUUUCGAUGACUAAAAUUCACAAACCAAAAUUCGACCGUCAGAUAUGAUCAUUAUGACGAAAGAUGUCUAUGGUAAAAAAUUCAACUGGAUCCGACAACGUUAAGGACUCGAUCGAAACGGGUAACCCUAAUCCAUCGUCACUUAUCACACGAAAACGCUCAUAUCUCCCUCUAUAUUACGUGGUUUGGUCAAACCUUCCACACAAAAAACUCUCAUGUAGAUGAGACGCAACUGCCCAUAUAAAAAUUUUGAGACAUUUACCUUCCGACGAUAGGGCUCCCCAUAGGGAAUAAUAACGGUAAAUAGUAGACACGUGAUUCCAAUGACUAAAAUUUACAAACCAAAAUUCGACCGUCCGAUAUGAUCAUUAUGACGAAAGAUGUCUAUGGUAAAAAAUUCAACUGGAUUCGACAACGUUAAGGGCUCGAUCGAAAUGGUCAACUCUAAUCGGAAAUAAGAAAACUGCAUUUUGAAGCCCUAAACGGACUCGGAUGGCCAAAAAGGCCCAUACAUCAUGACAUUAGCGAUGAGUUUGACUCGUAGGGCCGUUACGCUUCCGGAAAGGUAUCACAAUAGUCAAUCGGACACCAAAAACCAAAUCUGCAGCAUAGUGAAUAAUAAGGGUAAAUUGUAUUGACCGCAACUAUCGGCACCGAGACUUUACCGGAAUACCGUGAUUUUUCAACUGUAGACGUAUUUCACCAUUCUGGUCAUAUAUUAUUUCACGACUUUUUUUGCGGUUUGAAGGUUCUACGUAUAGUUUUUUUUUCCCAGAUGAGUUGUUGUCUAGAUCUGCAAAUAUAAGACACUUUAGCCGACGAAAUUAUAUUUUUCGUCGGCUAAACUUUUAAAAAUUUCGUCGGCUAAAGUUCACAGACUAUAGCCGACGAAAAAAAUUAUUCAGAUGACGAAAUUUUAAUUUCGUCGGCUAAAGUUGACCAUAGCCGACGAAAAUUUUUAAUUAGCCGACGAAGGGAACUUUAGCCGACAAAAAAAUAAUUCGUCGGCCUGGUUUUUUUAUUUUCGUCGGCUAAAGUCUUUCUUCUGGUAGUGUUGUCCGCCUUUUUGAACUUCAUUUUCUUCGUAGGAUCAAGCCCGGUCCUUGCGCAGUGCUGCAUGUGCAACCGUAUUAGGCCGAGAACCAAAAAGGGCAAGAAAACAUUUCACACUUCUCUAAUUGCUUCAUCAGUUGACUGAGGUCUGCAAAAUUGCAAAUUCCUUUCAAUUCUGAAUAUAUAUAUAUACACUUUCAAAAGGUGUUGGUUUGGCUUGUCACUAGAGCCCACACGUGUGGAUGUGCUUUUUGUGGAUUGACAGCUAGCAAAGCUUGCAGCUAGCACACGUUUUUAUUCCUUUCGUAUAAUUGUAUGAAGUUAUACUAUAUUAAACAUUUAAACAAUUAAACUAGCUCUCACGUUUGAAGAUAUAUGUUACUGAUUAAAUAUUAAAAAAUAUUAUAAUAGAACUUGUAGUGAAUGUUAUAUAGAACUUGUAAAGUACUUAGGUUUAUCUAUUUUGUUCAAGAAAGAUUAGAAAUAUCUAUCGAAUUAAGAUACAUGAUGUAUCUAACAUAUACUAAGACUAAUAGACGUACGUUUCUUAAAGAUAUAAGGACUUUAUGUUAUUCUGCAAGUUUCUAUAGUUUUUAUUGAAGUUUUAUCGAUCUUGAUAUUUUCUCAAAAUUUCCAAGUUUUAGAUCAUCGGUAUUUCCACG